UACGUAGGGGGCAAGCGUUGUCCGGAAUUACUGGGCGUAAAGGGAGCGUAGGCGGUCUGUUAAGUGGGAUGUGAAAAACCCGGGCUUAACCCGGGAGGUGCAUACUAAACUGGCAGACUUGAGUGUGGGAGAGGAAAGUGGAAUUCCUAGUGUAGCGGUGAAAUGCGUAGAUAUUAGGAGGAACACCAGUGGCGAAGGCGGCUUUCUGGACCAUAACUGACGCUGAGGCUCGAAAGCGUGGGGAGCAAAC
rnacentral:rRNA from 1 species